GUGGCUUGGAAAGAUACUUGAGACAACGUUUAGCACAAAAACGCAGUUUGCAGGAAACUUGCCUCUCACCUCUGCAGUCUAGCAACACAUUAACAUUGUGAUGGGGUGGGCCUGAUGAUGCAACAGCAGAAUGUGAUGUUCUGCAAAGGCCGACCUACGUGAAAAGAUUCCAGAUUUGUGUUCAGAGACCUCAGAAACCCAGGUUGGAAAUGGAGCAUAAUCCUCCAGGUGGAACCACUGAAGCCCCCACACCAAGGCUCCUGGCUGUAACCUGCACCUUGCUGUAUUUUCCCAUCUUGUCUCCAUGCAGAUCACCGGAUCCUUCCUAAAGUGCUUUGCUGGAAUGAAGAUGUCAAGUGGUCCCAAAACAUCUAAAAUCAUCUGUGUGAUCUUCAAAAUCAGCAACUUGAGAGUAAUAGGAAGCAGAUAUCUCAGCCAUAGAUGCCAUGCUAUUGUAGUAUGUCCCAAGGUUCAAAUAAUAUGCCCCAUUGGAAGCCUCCAUGAAUGGGAGCUGACAGGCAGGGCUGCCAUCAGCUGUUACUCACCAGGAAGGCCCUUUCAGUUCUGUUGUUCGGUAUCUGUUAUGAUUGGUUUGUGUCUAAAACUAUUUCUUGUUAAUUUUUUUUGAGCAUCAUACCUACUGAUGCCCUUGGCCUGAUGCCUACUGCAUGAUGCCAGGAAUAUUUGGAAGCCUCUUUCACCUUGGAUCAUCCCAUGAGGAUAACAAAAAAAGAGGGGAAAGGAACAUCCUGAAAUGACUGGUGACUCUCUCAAGCAGACUAGAACAAAUAACAAGUGACUAAAUUUACCUUGACUGUUUUUCAUGAUCAAUUUGUGAACUAAUUAAGUUCA